rnacentral:lncRNA from 1 species
GUCCGCGAGGUGGCCUACAGAGAGCGUGGAGCGGGCCUACGUUGGGAGACUGGCCUUGUACCUGUGGAUGGAAUCUGGUCUGUAAACCAACUCCCGCAGUUUACUUGUGAAUGGAGUAGGAAACAUUGCAUUUCCAAGAAGGUCUUAUAACAUCCUGAGCAACUAUUGCUGAGUAAUGUGCGCCCGUUGAACACCCACAAUGUGUCCAAAUAAAUAGAUCUUCAAGUAGCCCAGUAACCUCACCAAGACCGAGCAAGGAUUCUCAGCUUUUCUGGAACUCAGAUCCCAGCUGGAAGCUAACACUAGGAAUCCCAGGAAUGUUUUAUGAGAACUCACAGAAGUGCGGGGACUCAGUGACAUCCAAGAG